AUUGAACGCUGGCGGCAGGCUUAACACAUGCAAGUCGAACGAGUGGCGGACGGGAGAGUAAUGCUUGGGAAUCUGGCUAAUGGAGGGGGAUAACUACGGGAAACGGUAGAUAAUACCGCGUACCAUAGGAUGAGACAAAGUGGGAUUAGGUAGUUGGUGAGGUAGAGGCUCACCAAGCCGACGAUCUCUAGCUGGUCUGAGAGGAUGACCAGCCACACUGGGACUGAGACACGGCCCAGACUCCUACGGGAGGCAGCAGUGGGGAAUAUUGCGCAAGGGGGGCAACCCUGACGCAGCCAUGCCGCGUGUAUGAAGAAGGCCUUCGGGUUGUAAAGUACUUUCAGUCGGGAGGCGUUACCGACAGAAGAAGCACCGGCUAACUCCGUGCCAGCCGCCGCGGUAAUAC
rnacentral:rRNA from 1 species